rnacentral:lncRNA from 1 species
CAGGAAAAUAUUUACUUAAUAGACUGUAUUUAGAGAAUAAGACUGAAGUUGACUCUAAGAUUUUAGGAAGAUUAUUAGAUGAACUACAAAAGAAAAAAAGAGAGGAAGAAGCAGCAAGAAGUAGAAGAGGCUGAACUGGAGGCUGAAGAGGAGAUUGAAGGUGAGGAGCCGGAAGUUCAGGAAGGGUCUGAGGCCCUGGAGGUAGCCGAGGACACCAAGGGAGCCUUACCUGAGGAGACUGAAGUACCUGAGGUCCCUGAAACAGAACCUGAAUCAGUAUUUGAGUCUGCUGAGGAUACUACAGUUGGAACAGAAAUUUCAAAAGGAUCCAAAGAGGGCCUGGAAACUAAAGAAUUAUAUGAAACAGGUU